AGCGAACGCUGGCGGCAGGCCUAACACAUGCAAGUCGAACGGACCCUUCGGGGUUAGUGGCGGACGGGUGAGUAACACGUGGGAACGUGCCUUUAGGUUCGGAAUAGCUCCUGGAAACGGGUGGUAAUGCCGAAUGUGCCCUUCGGGGGAAAGAUUUAUCGCCUUUAGAGCGGCCCGCGUCUGAUUAGCUAGUUGGUGAGGUAAUGGCUCACCAAGGCGACGAUCAGUAGCUGGUCUGAGAGGAUGACCAGCCACAUUGGGACUGAGACACGGCCCAAACUCCUACGGGAGGCAGCAGUGGGGAAUCUUGCGCAAUGGGCGAAAGCCUGACGCAGCCAUGCCGCGUGAAUGAUGAAGGUCUUAGGAUUGUAAAAUUCUUUCACCGGGGACGAUAAUGACGGUACCCGGAGAAGAAGCCCCGGCUAACUUCGUGCCAGCAGCCGCGGUAAUACGAAGGGGGCUAGCGUUGCUCGGAAUUACUGGGCGUAAAGGGCGCGUAGGCGGACAUUUAAGUCAGGGGUGAAAUCCCAGAGCUCAACUCUGGAACUGCCUUUGAUACUGGGUGUCUUGAGUGUGAGAGAGGUAUGUGGAACUCCGAGUGUAGAGGUGAAAUUCGUAGAUAUUCGGAAGAACACCAGUGGCGAAGGCGACAUACUGGCUCAUUACUGACGCUGAGGCGCGAAAGCGUGGGGAGCAAACAGGAUUAGAUACCCUGGUAGUCCACGCCGUAAACGAUGAUUGCUAGUUGUCGGGCUGCAUGCAGUUCGGUGACGCAGCUAACGCAUUAAGCAAUCCGCCUGGGGAGUACGGUCGCAAGAUUA
rnacentral:rRNA from 1 species